rnacentral:lncRNA from 1 species
GACAGAAGAGCUCCUUGGCACUGGAUGCCUCCGGGUCUGGUUGAGAGAGGAAUGGUUAGGAGACUGUUCUGAGGAUACGCAGACAUCAUCCAAAGCUUCCUACAUUCAGAUGAGGACAGAGGUUGGGCCAGAGCUUUGUAAGCUUGUUACCUAAGGAUGGUUCUGACCAUGUAAGCAGAUCACAGAAGCUGGAGGCAAAGGAUGCCAAGAUGGGAAAGCCACAUAAUGGAAGGAUCCUGGAUUUCAGAGCUGUCACUUGGAGGAGGGGCACCCAGUGAAGGUGUCUUAUCUAACCCACACCAUAUCUUCAUGAAGUGGCCAUAUGGAUUUGAUCCCUAUCCUUCAGAGGUGCUCAGCCUAAGGGAACACGGAUAGUAGAUUAAGCACUGACCAGGCUCAAGUUUGUACAUUCCAACUUGUUGUUUGGGCCUUGUUGGACAUAACUGAAGUCUGGAUGGCAGGGUGAAAAUUGGAUAAACAGCCACACUGACUCAGG